rnacentral:rRNA from 1 species
CUUGUGCUAAUACCGGAUAAGUCUUUACGGAGAAAGCUUUAUGCACCAUUGGAUGAGCCCGCACUUGAUUAGUUUGUUGGUAGGGUAAUGGCCUACCAAGACUAUGAUCAAUAGCUGAUUUGAGAGGAUGAUCAGCCACAUUGGACUGAGACACGGCCCAAACUACUACGGGAGGCAGCAGUGGGGAAUCUUGCACAAUGGAGGAAACUCUGAUGCAACGAUGCCGCGUGAGUGAAGAAGGCCUUUGGGUUGUAAAGCUCUUUCGUCGGGGAAGAAAAUGACUGUACCCAAAUAAGA